AUACGGAGGAUGCAAGCGUUAUCCGGAUUUAUUGGGUUUAAAGGGUGCGCAGGCGGAAAAUUAAGUCAGUGGUGAAAUCCUACAGCUUAACUGUAGAACUGCCAUUGAUACUGAUUUUCUUGAGUGCAGUUGAGGUAGGCGGAAUGUGUAAUGUAGCGGUGAAAUGCUUAGAUAUUACACAGAACACCGAUUGCGUAGGCAGCUUACUAAACUGUUACUGACGCUCAGGCACGAAAGCGUGGGGAGCGAACAGGAUUAGAAACCCUAGUAGUCC
rnacentral:rRNA from 1 species